GCACAAGCAGCGGAGCGUGUGGUUUAAUUCGAUGUUACACGAAGAACCUUACCUGGAUUUGACAUGCACGUAGUAGUGAACCGAAGGGAACGAGCCUUCGGGCAGCGUGCACAGGUGCUGCAUGGCUGUCGUCAGCUCGUGCCGUGAGGUGUUGGGUUAAGUCCCGCAACGAGCGCAACCCUCGUCGCUAGUUACAUGUGUCUAGCGAGACUGCCAGGUUAACCCUGGAGGAAGGUGGGAUGACGUCAAGUCAGCAUGGCCUUUAUGUCCAGGGCUACACACACGCUACAAUGGUCGGUACAAUGGGAUGCCAAGCCGCGAGGCGGAGCAAAUCCUCAAAGCCGGCCUCAGUUCGGAUUGGAGGCUGCAACUCGCCUCCAUGAAGUCGGAGUUGCUAGUAACCGCAGGUCAGCUAUACUGCGGUGAAUACGUUCCCGGGCCUU
rnacentral:rRNA from 1 species